UUUUGCUGUUUUUAUGCCUUUAACUAUGGAGUGCACACUGGAGUCCACAGUGAAAAGGCUGAUGCUUUUUUGUUUGUUUUUUUCCUUUUUAGUUAAUUUUUUUCAUUUAGUUUAGUUUGUUAAUGUUCAAUUUUUUUCUAUUUAGUUAUCAAACUUUCAUGACACGGAUCCCGGGUUUGACGAGUUACCUCGUCAAUUUUUUUUUCUAUUUAGUUAUCAAACUUUUACGACACGAAUCCAAGGUUUGACGGGUUAACCUGGUUUGAAGGGUUAACCCUGUUAAUUCAGAUUUUUUUCUUUUUCUUCAUUAAUUUUUUACUUCAUUUUGGUUUUUUUUCUUUGUUUUUUUUCUUUUUAAUUAAUCUAUUUAAUUAUCACACUUUUAUGACACGAACAGCCAGACCCACAUCCAAGACUAUUGGGUCUGGUAUUGCAGUCAGACCCACUUAAACUUGGGUCAUGCAAGUUUAAUGUUAUUAUUAAUAUUAUAAAUAUUUGUCUUGGGUCAGGCGUUGCAGCCACGCCCAAGACUCUUGGGUAUACCUUUGCAAAAAGACCUAAUACUUUUAGAUCUUAAUUUUUUUUGAUAUUUUUUAUGCAAAAACCAUUGACCCGCGGCAUCGCGCGGGUCAUGUAACUAGUUAAUUUCUAUAAGAGAUGCCUUUAUGAUGGAUGAUUUCUGCACAAUUGUGUUGUUUCAUUUACAUUUUCAUUGAGUCACUUUCUACAUGCAACCAUUGAUUUAUUUGAUUUUUAUCUUGAGAGAAUAUAUGACCUGAGUGCAUUUGAGUAGUUAAGGCCAAAUGAUGAGUUUGGGAUCAGCUGGUGACCUGAGUGCCAUUCGUACCGUUCCACCACUGUUUACCUGUAGUAACCCCAUUCAGCUCUUCUGCUUCUAUUCCUCAUAGCUCAGUUUGUUACAACACUUUUAGUCACUUAUGUACUCGGAUAGCAACCAUGAUUAUUGAUCUGAAUGUUGUGUGCUCUAGCCUUUUCAAUUGUUAAGACAUCUUAAUAGAAAGCUUCUCCAUAUGGUUGCACAUUUUGACCUAAACACUGUAGAUUUUUCUUUAACCAUUUAUACUAGGUUCUUUGUCUGCUCGGCUUCUUAGAUUAGUUCAAGUAAUCCUCACUUGACUUCUUGCAUCAUUCCUAUAACAACCCGUGACAUCUCGCAAGUAAUUUACCUAGUCUAUUAGAUUGUGUUAAGUAUUCUCUCUUAGAGUUGUGUUCCCAAUCUGCUAGACGAUAUGGCAUAAUCAGUAGCAGUUUCUUGACCUUCUGCCAUGGUCACUUUAUCGUUUGAAUGAUGUACUCAGAUAAUUAUGCACCUUAAUGCUUUGAAAUGGGGACAAGCCACUUUUAUCCCACUAAACAGGUAAGGAUAAAGUAUCCGUGUGUAACUUAUCUAUAUGGUUUUGAUGUGGUACCUUUAUUAAAAAAGUUGAAGUUUCUCCCAAUUUUACCCCAGUAUUUGCAUAGGAUAGUCCACCAUGCUUGAUCUAAUUGAAAUAGUAUUGAUCUAGUAGAAACAUUGAUUCAAGUUUUGCUGUUCAUAAUUUGUAUACAAGUCUCCUCGUGUAACUUAUCUAUCCACAUGGUUCUGAUGUGGUCCCUUUAUUAAAAAAGUUGAAGUUUUCUCCCAAUUUUUCCCCACGACUAGCGCAGGUUAGUUCUCCACCGUGCUUGUUCUAACUGAAAUAGGAGAUCCAACAAAAACAUUGGUUCGAGUCGAGUUGUUAAUAAUUUGUAUGUUGGUCUACACAAGUGAAAACUGAGUAAUUACUUAUGCUAUUUUGUUCCAGAUGGUCAUUUCUCAACAUGUUUUGUUAAUUGAUUGUUGAUGUUUUCAUUAGCUUGGUGUGCAAAUUUGGGUUGAAAGUUUUUGGCAUGAGAAGCUUUGUAGUGAUUGCUUUUGGAAUCCAAGAAUGGAUAGUUGUGAGAGUUUUUAUUUGAUAAUUGUGGUUGAGUGGUACCAACAAUAAAAGUACGUUAUAAAGUACCUGCAUAUACGUUUCUGGUGUGCACCCCCAACCACAAUGCUACUAGGAAAUUUAUAUGAUCUGCGAAGCAAAACACUUUUUACUUGAUGUGAUAUUUGUAAGUAACUUAAAUUAUUUGACUGGCAUGUUCUUGAAUGCUAGUGGAGCAUUGUUUAUACCCAAGGACUUGUCUAUAAAUGUGUGUGCUUUUUGAAAAUUUGCAUGAGCUAAAUUGUUGAUGAAGUUGAUAUGACUCCUGUAAUGGUCUGCAUGCAUAUAUCGUUGAUUAUUCUUCUUAUUCUCCUAAGUAUUUACCUAAGCUGUAAUCUGUUGAGAUUUGGAUGUGUCCACAAACUAAUGGUUUGGACUGCAUAACUGUGGAUGGUUAGGAUAAAAAUCUUAUAUGUUAUUUUUUACAUGAUGAUUCUUAUACAUGUUUAUGAUGCCUUAACAAGUUACUAAUGAUCAGGUGAUUAAGUAAGGAAGAAAGUUGAUAUGACGGGGGGUUUUUAUGACUAUCGAUGCUCAAAGUUGAAGUUUAUGGACAUGAGUAAUUACUUGUGUUAUUUUGUUCUAGAAGGUUAUUUCUCUACGUGUUUUGUUAAUUGAUUGCUGAUGUUUUCAUUAGCUUGGUGUGCAAAUUUGGGUUGAAAGUUUUUGGUGUGAGAAGCUCUGUAGUUAUUGCUUUUGGAAUCCAAGGAUGGAUAGUUCUGAGAAAAAGUUUUAAUUUGAUAAUUUUGGUUGAUUGGUACCAACAAUAAAUGUAAGCUAUAAAGUACCUGCAUGUACGCUUCUGGUGUCCACCCCAACCACAAUGCUACUAGGAAAUUUAUAUGAUUUGCGAAGUAAAACACUUUUUCUUUGAUAUGAUAUUUGUAUGUAACUUAAAUUAUUUGACCGACAUGUUCUUGAGGUAAGAACAUGUUUAUGAUGCCUUAUACAUGAUGAUCCUUCUACAUGUUUAUGAUGCCUUAACAAGUUACUAAUGAUCAGGUGAUUAAGUAAGGAAGAAAGUCGUUAUGACGGGGGGGCUUUUAUGAUUAUCGAUGCUCAAAGUUGAAGUUUAUGAACAUAAUUAUGUAGAACAAAUCACAUUGAGGUAAGAAAUCUCAUGAUUGUGCAGUUUCCAUCACAGACUAAAAUGAGAAAACAGAGAGCUAGAGACUAAUUUCACAACUAAUCUGAAAUAACAAAAACAAAAUUUGGAAGCCCUAAUAUCCUUUGCUAAAUCUGAGAUGUUACAUGGUUCUUAAUUGUAGGGGAAGGAACUAAAUGAUGUUAACUCAUUGGCUGAAGUCAUAACACUAACUCUAAAGUGUGCUUUGAGUUGUUUUUAGAAACUUGAUUUUAAUAUUUCACUAUAAAAAUAUUUUUUUGACUAGCUGUUCUUCCAGGUGUUUCUGACAGGAUGGAUAGACUCAAUGCUGAAGUCACAACACAACUCUGAACUGUGAAUAUGCUUUAUUGUUUCUUUAUGUGAUAAAUGACUAGUCUAAGCUUCAGUUUUUUGUUCUUGUCUUUUAAUGUAUUAUUAAACUAUUAUGGCUUGUAAUCAAUGUUUUAAAUUAAUUUAUCCUGUCUGAUUUUCCAGCCGUUAUCCUUGCUGAAAUCCUAGAAGAUGAUGUUUUGGUCUUCCCCCACAUGUACUCGAUACUUACUGAGAUAGGUCAUGUUUACAUGGUUCCACUUAAGCAUUCAUCUUUUCAAAAAUGACAUGCUCUGUUUUAUUGGAACUUAUAGGUAUAAGAGGAGUUUGAAAGAGUUGCAUAAAAUGCUUCAUUGGUGCAAUGAGCAUUUCAACAGUUCAGCCAUGUAAACAAGGAGGCACUAGAUCAACAUGUAAAUCUCACUAGGAAACAGGAGGAACUUCAGACACGGCAAGCUGAACUUGAGGCAAGUGACAAGGUACUACGGUACUGGAUUUUAAUGGUUAAAUGUCUUCUGUUGUACUUAUUGUUUUUAAUGUGAGAUUAUGAUUUAUGUAUCUUUACUUCAACGAUAAACAUAAGCCAUAAAAAAAUAGACUGAGCUUGAGCCUGAUGUGAAAGACGUGCUAGAGAGAAUUUCAGAACAUAUCCAAGCCAAGGUAUCAAACUGUAGCAAAGAGAAAAAUGCUAAUUAUUUUUUGGGGAUAAAAAAUGUUGAAUGCUUUUAUUUAACAUGUGCUUUGCUUUCAGGAUGAUGCUAUGCUAAAAUGUAAGGUAUCUCCUCAACUAAAAUUUUCUACAUAUUACUACCUAAGCUAUAAUUUCAGCUGAAAGGGCCUCACUUUAGGUUUUUGUCCUCUACUGUCAAUAAACUAAUUUAUACAGCUAACAUGGUCGGUAAUAAUAAAACACAGUCUAGUAGAUGGAGAAUUUGCAAAUAAGUAAUUAAAACAUCAUUAUUUAAGAAUUAUUUGUGUAUUUUGUUACUUAAAUUAAUAUGUUAGGGGAUUUUAUACCUUCUUUGAUUUGACCUAGUGGAGGAUUUGGGGGACCUGAAUGGACACACAUAGUCGAGUGAAAUUUGAUUUUUUGCAAUUUAUACAGGUUUCCUUACUCUUGUGGAUAUGAACUCUUCUACUUUCGUCGUAGAUUCAAGGAAGCUUUUGUGGAUUUCUAGGUUUUCUUUCCUUCACUUGUUGUUGGGUGAUUUUUCGUUUUAGUCCAAGGAACCGGAACCAUCUUGUUAUGAGAAAUAAUUGAUUUUUAUUUUCCACAUUAACUGGACACUUCGAUGAUAAGUUUUUUACCUUUUCCAGAUGUUGUACUAGCUACAAAUGUUCGGGAUUUAUUCAAGGUCUAUAGCAGUAACUAGUAGAUGCCCACCAUUAUACUAAAAACAAGACCCCUUUGAAAAUUUCUAGUUUUAUGAUGAGCUGUCUUCAAGGUUUAUGUGUAAAUGUAUGGAUUAAUUGAAAUUAGAUAAGUAUGUUUUGCUACUUGGUAUGAGUAUGCAAUUGAACUUCUUAACUCUAUUGUUGCAAGUCCUCGUGCCUCUCUUGCCAUUUCCUUUAUAUUCUGAUUUUUUGAUUUUAAAUAAGUCAUCUACUUCAGGAAGAAAAUUAUAGGCUGAAUGCAGACUUCAAAGAGCGAAAUGCCUACGUUGAGAGCUGCAGAGCUGAAAUCGUUAUUUUCUAGUCUCAUGAAGGAUUCAAUAGUCAUAAAGCAUAGAGAAACAAGCUACAAGAAGCAUGUAUCCUUUUCUCUUUCUAUUUUGGUCAGGCUUAUUGAAAGGGCAUAGUUUGACUAGACUUUUCUGCUUUUGUAGAUCAUGGUGAAAAAGAAAAGUGAACUUAUUGUUGAAUUUGAUAAGCUAAGACCACAAGUGUUCUUAUUCCUCUGUCGUUGGGUCCUAUUUAUAGGAAAAAUCUCUUGUAGAUGUCACUAAUCAAAUAGUGAGCUUAAAGCCACUGUGACCACGAAACAAGGUGAGGUGGGCACAGAGCUCAUUGAUCACUUAACACCACAGGAAAAACAUGAACUAUCCCAGCUGAACUAAGAAAUAAAAGAUCUUAAAGAGGAGCUUAUUAAAUUUAGAACAGAUCGCAUCGAGGUAAGAUAUCUCAACCUUGUGAGAAGCAACUGUACUUAUCCUUAACAGGUAUUUGUUCUGUUUCACAUGAAGCUUUUGUGGCCUUCCAAGCUACUUCCAUAUUUAUGAUCUGCUUUCUGAUAGGCCUCUUGCUUGCUGUCAUGCAUGCCUAUAUGCUAAUGGGUGUAUGGUAAUACAUUGCCCCAAAAGUUUCUGUAUAUUUGUUGCUAAUUGAGGUGGGUGACUUUUUGGAAGAAAAUAGUUUAUUAUCGUUUAUUAUUGCCACCUGUUGCACUAGAGGUGAUAGAUUGAUGUUGCACUGAUGUGUCUUGGCCUCAAACCCUAGAAAAAUAAUAUUACUUGUCACUGAAAAAUGAGUAAAUAAAAAGAAACGAAUUAUUCCUCAUGCUUUUACAAUGUCUAUCUGCUAUUUGUGAUUUAUUAAGAUACAUUUUGAGUAUUAACAUUAGUUUUUGUUACUAUGAAGGCAAAGGUGAUGGUACAAAUGCAGAAUCUGGAGCACAUGAAGAAGAUUUUCUCAUCCAGGAUGAGAUUUCUAAAUCUUGUCUAGUGAACGUGUAGCGUGUAAGUCAUUCUUUAUGGAGAUGCUGCAUUUUGCAAGUAUUGCAAAAGUUGCAAGUGCUCCAUUAUACAUGCAUCCCUUGUUAUUGAAUUGUUGAUUAUCUGUAGGAGGAAGAGACAAUUUUGCAUGAGAGAGACGGCUAUAAACUGGAAGAGGGACGUCUUAUACGUGAAUUGAAAAGGAUACGAGAUGAGGAUGAUUCAAGUUUUAAUAAUUUUCAGAUUUUAAAUCAUCAAUAUGCCCUUUUAAACCUUCUUGGGCAAGGAGGAUUUAGUGAGGUUUACAAGGUCCGAACUUCGGCAAGUAGUUUCAAUUGAUAAUAGAAAGUAGUUUCAUUUGAUAAUAGAAACACUAACCUUUGCUUGUUUGAUGAAAAUUCUUAUAUACCAUGACAAGAGUAUAGAUCAUUCUGUUGCCAAUAUUGACAAUUGUAAAAGCACAUCCUUUUGCAGUGAUUUGAAGUGAGAAAUUUCCGGCAGGCUUAUGAUUUGGUCGAGCAUAGGUAUGUUCCAUGAAGGUGCAGGGCAUCAUGUUUUAUCUGCUUUUGUUGAGAUUGUGUUGAUAAUUCCGACAAUCACAUCCCGGUAAUACUUCAUAACCUACUUCUUUUUCUUUUCUGAGGUAUGGAGUGUAAAUAAUGGUCCACAUCUUAUUACGAAAGAAGAAGGAUCCUGAAUUUUAUAUUUGUUUUCUUCUUCUUCUAACAUAUAAGCUUAUCUUUAUCUUUACAAAGCUUCUCCCACAAUGCUCCAGAAUUUCUUUUGAAUUAGUUGUUCUAUCAUGAGGCAUAAUUUUAUUUUAGUUCAGAAAGUCAAACUUUGGCCACCAUUGAUUGGGAUAACAAUCUAGGAUUCUGCCACUAUCCUUCCAUCCAUGCCUGUUAUAUUUUCCUAGAUCUUUUCCGUGCUUUCCUAGGCUGCUAAUAAGGCUGUUACAUGUUUUGCUGGCAAUGAUAGUUUGUUUUUAGACUUUUGAUGUCUCUUUAUACUGUGACUGUGCGAUGCUCUUAUUAGCAUUUCUUUAAUGGGUGCUGGUAAGGAUUAUGAACAUUAGUUUUAUCAAUAGUGAUGCACAUCAUUCACAUAUUUGCCCUUUAUGCCCAUGUGUUGUGUUAACAAAUGCUGCUGCCCAUAAUUUUUUCCCAGAUCUUUUUCGUGCUUUCCUAGGCUGCCAAUAAGGCUGUUACGUGUUUUGCUAGCAAUGAUAGUUUGUUUUUAAAUUUUGAUGUCUCUCUACAUACUGUGACUGUGCAAUACCUUUAUUAGCGUUUCUGUAAUGGAUGCUGGUAAGGAUUAUGAGCAUUAUUCAAUCAGGAUAAAAUUGUUGCUGCUGCAACUUGACUACACCUACUGGAGAAAGCAGUUGAGAAUAUGAUUGAUUUGGUGACUGCCUUUAUUUUUAACAAAACUGGUUUCCAUUCUGUUCAUGCAAUGACUGUUUUGCUACUUAAAUAUGCAUGGUGGGUUGAAUGGGUUCCCUAUCUGCCUUGUCAGAUGAAUUAACAAUAAACUAAAACUGCUCAGUGUUUCACUGUGGAAGUCCAUAGUGAAACACUGAGCAGUCUUCUUCUUUUUCUUUCUUCUUUUUCUGUUUUUAUUUUUUUUGGUUUUUUUUUUUCGUUUUCCAUGUCUAUGGUUUUUUUUUUUUGCUUUUUUCUGUGGUUUUUUCUUUUGAUGAACUUUUUUUGUUUAAUUUAGUUUGUUAAUGUUAAUUAUUUUUAUUUAGUUAUCAGAUUUUCAUGACACGGAUCCCGGGUUUGACGGGUUAAUCCAGUUUAUUCAGUUUUUUUUUAAUUUUUUUUAUUAGUUUUUUUCUUCUUGUAUGUUUUUUUUCUCUUUGCUUUUUCCUUUUUAAUUAAUCUUUUUUUAAUUUUUUUCAUUAAUAAUAAAUCUUUUUAUAUUUAGUUAUAACACUUUCAUGACAUGAAUUUGAGGUUUGACAGGUUAACCUGAUUUGGCGGGUUAACCCGGUUGAUUCAGAUUUUUUUAUUUUUCCUCAUCUUUUUUUUAUUUAGUUUGUUAAUAUUAAAUAUUUUCUAUUUAAUUAUCAGACUUUCAUGACAUAGAUUUCAGGUUUGACGGGUUAACCCAAUUUAUUCAGAUUUUUUUUAUUUUUCUUCGUUAGUUUUUUUCUUCCUGUAUGUUUUUUUUCUUUGCUUUUUUCCUUUUUAAUUAAUCUUCCUUUUUAAUUUAUUUCAUUAAUAAUAAAUCUUUUUUUCUAUUUAGUUAUUACACUUUCAUGACACGAAUUCCAGGUUUGACACGUUAACCCGGUUGAAUCGGAUUUUUUUUCUUUUUCCUCAUUAGUUUUGUUCUUUUGAUUUCAUCUUUUAAUAUUGUAUGCAGUCCACAAUGAAAAGGCUGAAGCCUUUAGUUUUUUUUUUUGCUUUUUUUUAUUCCUUUCACUGUAGACUGCACAGUGCAGCCCACGGUGAAAAAAGGCUGAUGCUUUUUUUUUCUUUUUAAUUAAUUUUUUUAUUUAGUUUGUUGAUAUUAAUUUUUUCUCUAUUUAUUUAUCAGACUUUCAUGACACGGAUUUCAGGUUUCACGGGUUAACCCAGUUAAUUUAGAUUUGUUUCUUUCUUCAUUAGUUUUUUUCUUCUUAUAAGUUUUUUUUCUUGUGGAUUGUUUCUUUUUAUUUAAUUUAGUUUAUCAAUAUUAAAAUUUUUUCUAUUUAGUUAUCGACCGAUGCUUUUAUUUUUUCUUUUUGUUUUUUUGCUGUUUUUAUGCCUUUAACUAUGGAGUGCACACUGGAGUCCACAGUGAAAAGGCUGAUGCUUUUUUGUUUGUUUUUUUCCUUUUUAGUUAAUUUUUUUCAUUUAGUUUAGUUUGUUAAUGUUCAAUUUUUUUCUAUUUAGUUAUCAAACUUUCAUGACACGGAUCCCGGGUUUGACGAGUUACCUCGUCAAUUUUUUUUUCUAUUUAGUUAUCAAACUUUUACGACACGAAUCCAAGGUUUGACGGGUUAACCUGGUUUGAAGGGUUAACCCUGUUAAUUCAGAUUUUUUUCUUUUUCUUCAUUAAUUUUUUACUUCAUUUUGGUUUUUUUUCUUUGUUUUUUUUCUUUUUAAUUAAUCUAUUUAAUUAUCACACUUUUAUGACACGAACAGCCAGACCCACAUCCAAGACUAUUGGGUCUGGUAUUGCAGUCAGACCCACUUAAACUUGGGUCAUGCAAGUUUAAUGUUAUUAUUAAUAUUAUAAAUAUUUGUCUUGGGUCAGGCGUUGCAGCCACGCCCAAGACUCUUGGGUAUACCUUUGCAAAAAGACCUAAUACUUUUAGAUCUUAAUUUUUUUUGAUAUUUUUUAUGCAAAAACCAUUGACCCGCGGCAUCGCGCGGGUCAUGUAACUAGUUAAUUUCUAUAAGAGAUGCCUUUAUGAUGGAUGAUUUCUGCACAAUUGUGUUGUUUCAUUUACAUUUUCAUUGAGUCACUUUCUACAUGCAACCAUUGAUUUAUUUGAUUUUUAUCUUGAGAGAAUAUAUGACCUGAGUGCAUUUGAGUAGUUAAGGCCAAAUGAUGAGUUUGGGAUCAGCUGGUGACCUGAGUGCCAUUCGUACCGUUCCACCACUGUUUACCUGUAGUAACCCCAUUCAGCUCUUCUGCUUCUAUUCCUCAUAGCUCAGUUUGUUACAACACUUUUAGUCACUUAUGUACUCGGAUAGCAACCAUGAUUAUUGAUCUGAAUGUUGUGUGCUCUAGCCUUUUCAAUUGUUAAGACAUCUUAAUAGAAAGCUUCUCCAUAUGGUUGCACAUUUUGACCUAAACACUGUAGAUUUUUCUUUAACCAUUUAUACUAGGUUCUUUGUCUGCUCGGCUUCUUAGAUUAGUUCAAGUAAUCCUCACUUGACUUCUUGCAUCAUUCCUAUAACAACCCGUGACAUCUCGCAAGUAAUUUACCUAGUCUAUUAGAUUGUGUUAAGUAUUCUCUCUUAGAGUUGUGUUCCCAAUCUGCUAGACGAUAUGGCAUAAUCAGUAGCAGUUUCUUGACCUUCUGCCAUGGUCACUUUAUCGUUUGAAUGAUGUACUCAGAUAAUUAUGCACCUUAAUGCUUUGAAAUGGGGACAAGCCACUUUUAUCCCACUAAACAGGUAAGGAUAAAGUAUCCGUGUGUAACUUAUCUAUAUGGUUUUGAUGUGGUACCUUUAUUAAAAAAGUUGAAGUUUCUCCCAAUUUUACCCCAGUAUUUGCAUAGGAUAGUCCACCAUGCUUGAUCUAAUUGAAAUAGUAUUGAUCUAGUAGAAACAUUGAUUCAAGUUUUGCUGUUCAUAAUUUGUAUACAAGUCUCCUCGUGUAACUUAUCUAUCCACAUGGUUCUGAUGUGGUCCCUUUAUUAAAAAAGUUGAAGUUUUCUCCCAAUUUUUCCCCACGACUAGCGCAGGUUAGUUCUCCACCGUGCUUGUUCUAACUGAAAUAGGAGAUCCAACAAAAACAUUGGUUCGAGUCGAGUUGUUAAUAAUUUGUAUGUUGGUCUACACAAGUGAAAACUGAGUAAUUACUUAUGCUAUUUUGUUCCAGAUGGUCAUUUCUCAACAUGUUUUGUUAAUUGAUUGUUGAUGUUUUCAUUAGCUUGGUGUGCAAAUUUGGGUUGAAAGUUUUUGGCAUGAGAAGCUUUGUAGUGAUUGCUUUUGGAAUCCAAGAAUGGAUAGUUGUGAGAGUUUUUAUUUGAUAAUUGUGGUUGAGUGGUACCAACAAUAAAAGUACGUUAUAAAGUACCUGCAUAUACGUUUCUGGUGUGCACCCCCAACCACAAUGCUACUAGGAAAUUUAUAUGAUCUGCGAAGCAAAACACUUUUUACUUGAUGUGAUAUUUGUAAGUAACUUAAAUUAUUUGACUGGCAUGUUCUUGAAUGCUAGUGGAGCAUUGUUUAUACCCAAGGACUUGUCUAUAAAUGUGUGUGCUUUUUGAAAAUUUGCAUGAGCUAAAUUGUUGAUGAAGUUGAUAUGACUCCUGUAAUGGUCUGCAUGCAUAUAUCGUUGAUUAUUCUUCUUAUUCUCCUAAGUAUUUACCUAAGCUGUAAUCUGUUGAGAUUUGGAUGUGUCCACAAACUAAUGGUUUGGACUGCAUAACUGUGGAUGGUUAGGAUAAAAAUCUUAUAUGUUAUUUUUUACAUGAUGAUUCUUAUACAUGUUUAUGAUGCCUUAACAAGUUACUAAUGAUCAGGUGAUUAAGUAAGGAAGAAAGUUGAUAUGACGGGGGGUUUUUAUGACUAUCGAUGCUCAAAGUUGAAGUUUAUGGACAUGAGUAAUUACUUGUGUUAUUUUGUUCUAGAAGGUUAUUUCUCUACGUGUUUUGUUAAUUGAUUGCUGAUGUUUUCAUUAGCUUGGUGUGCAAAUUUGGGUUGAAAGUUUUUGGUGUGAGAAGCUCUGUAGUUAUUGCUUUUGGAAUCCAAGGAUGGAUAGUUCUGAGAAAAAGUUUUAAUUUGAUAAUUUUGGUUGAUUGGUACCAACAAUAAAUGUAAGCUAUAAAGUACCUGCAUGUACGCUUCUGGUGUCCACCCCAACCACAAUGCUACUAGGAAAUUUAUAUGAUUUGCGAAGUAAAACACUUUUUCUUUGAUAUGAUAUUUGUAUGUAACUUAAAUUAUUUGACCGACAUGUUCUUGAGGUAAGAACAUGUUUAUGAUGCCUUAUACAUGAUGAUCCUUCUACAUGUUUAUGAUGCCUUAACAAGUUACUAAUGAUCAGGUGAUUAAGUAAGGAAGAAAGUCGUUAUGACGGGGGGGCUUUUAUGAUUAUCGAUGCUCAAAGUUGAAGUUUAUGAACAUAAUUAUGUAGAACAAAUCACAUUGAGGUAAGAAAUCUCAUGAUUGUGCAGUUUCCAUCACAGACUAAAAUGAGAAAACAGAGAGCUAGAGACUAAUUUCACAACUAAUCUGAAAUAACAAAAACAAAAUUUGGAAGCCCUAAUAUCCUUUGCUAAAUCUGAGAUGUUACAUGGUUCUUAAUUGUAGGGGAAGGAACUAAAUGAUGUUAACUCAUUGGCUGAAGUCAUAACACUAACUCUAAAGUGUGCUUUGAGUUGUUUUUAGAAACUUGAUUUUAAUAUUUCACUAUAAAAAUAUUUUUUUGACUAGCUGUUCUUCCAGGUGUUUCUGACAGGAUGGAUAGACUCAAUGCUGAAGUCACAACACAACUCUGAACUGUGAAUAUGCUUUAUUGUUUCUUUAUGUGAUAAAUGACUAGUCUAAGCUUCAGUUUUUUGUUCUUGUCUUUUAAUGUAUUAUUAAACUAUUAUGGCUUGUAAUCAAUGUUUUAAAUUAAUUUAUCCUGUCUGAUUUUCCAGCCGUUAUCCUUGCUGAAAUCCUAGAAGAUGAUGUUUUGGUCUUCCCCCACAUGUACUCGAUACUUACUGAGAUAGGUCAUGUUUACAUGGUUCCACUUAAGCAUUCAUCUUUUCAAAAAUGACAUGCUCUGUUUUAUUGGAACUUAUAGGUAUAAGAGGAGUUUGAAAGAGUUGCAUAAAAUGCUUCAUUGGUGCAAUGAGCAUUUCAACAGUUCAGCCAUGUAAACAAGGAGGCACUAGAUCAACAUGUAAAUCUCACUAGGAAACAGGAGGAACUUCAGACACGGCAAGCUGAACUUGAGGCAAGUGACAAGGUACUACGGUACUGGAUUUUAAUGGUUAAAUGUCUUCUGUUGUACUUAUUGUUUUUAAUGUGAGAUUAUGAUUUAUGUAUCUUUACUUCAACGAUAAACAUAAGCCAUAAAAAAAUAGACUGAGCUUGAGCCUGAUGUGAAAGACGUGCUAGAGAGAAUUUCAGAACAUAUCCAAGCCAAGGUAUCAAACUGUAGCAAAGAGAAAAAUGCUAAUUAUUUUUUGGGGAUAAAAAAUGUUGAAUGCUUUUAUUUAACAUGUGCUUUGCUUUCAGGAUGAUGCUAUGCUAAAAUGUAAGGUAUCUCCUCAACUAAAAUUUUCUACAUAUUACUACCUAAGCUAUAAUUUCAGCUGAAAGGGCCUCACUUUAGGUUUUUGUCCUCUACUGUCAAUAAACUAAUUUAUACAGCUAACAUGGUCGGUAAUAAUAAAACACAGUCUAGUAGAUGGAGAAUUUGCAAAUAAGUAAUUAAAACAUCAUUAUUUAAGAAUUAUUUGUGUAUUUUGUUACUUAAAUUAAUAUGUUAGGGGAUUUUAUACCUUCUUUGAUUUGACCUAGUGGAGGAUUUGGGGGACCUGAAUGGACACACAUAGUCGAGUGAAAUUUGAUUUUUUGCAAUUUAUACAGGUUUCCUUACUCUUGUGGAUAUGAACUCUUCUACUUUCGUCGUAGAUUCAAGGAAGCUUUUGUGGAUUUCUAGGUUUUCUUUCCUUCACUUGUUGUUGGGUGAUUUUUCGUUUUAGUCCAAGGAACCGGAACCAUCUUGUUAUGAGAAAUAAUUGAUUUUUAUUUUCCACAUUAACUGGACACUUCGAUGAUAAGUUUUUUACCUUUUCCAGAUGUUGUACUAGCUACAAAUGUUCGGGAUUUAUUCAAGGUCUAUAGCAGUAACUAGUAGAUGCCCACCAUUAUACUAAAAACAAGACCCCUUUGAAAAUUUCUAGUUUUAUGAUGAGCUGUCUUCAAGGUUUAUGUGUAAAUGUAUGGAUUAAUUGAAAUUAGAUAAGUAUGUUUUGCUACUUGGUAUGAGUAUGCAAUUGAACUUCUUAACUCUAUUGUUGCAAGUCCUCGUGCCUCUCUUGCCAUUUCCUUUAUAUUCUGAUUUUUUGAUUUUAAAUAAGUCAUCUACUUCAGGAAGAAAAUUAUAGGCUGAAUGCAGACUUCAAAGAGCGAAAUGCCUACGUUGAGAGCUGCAGAGCUGAAAUCGUUAUUUUCUAGUCUCAUGAAGGAUUCAAUAGUCAUAAAGCAUAGAGAAACAAGCUACAAGAAGCAUGUAUCCUUUUCUCUUUCUAUUUUGGUCAGGCUUAUUGAAAGGGCAUAGUUUGACUAGACUUUUCUGCUUUUGUAGAUCAUGGUGAAAAAGAAAAGUGAACUUAUUGUUGAAUUUGAUAAGCUAAGACCACAAGUGUUCUUAUUCCUCUGUCGUUGGGUCCUAUUUAUAGGAAAAAUCUCUUGUAGAUGUCACUAAUCAAAUAGUGAGCUUAAAGCCACUGUGACCACGAAACAAGGUGAGGUGGGCACAGAGCUCAUUGAUCACUUAACACCACAGGAAAAACAUGAACUAUCCCAGCUGAACUAAGAAAUAAAAGAUCUUAAAGAGGAGCUUAUUAAAUUUAGAACAGAUCGCAUCGAGGUAAGAUAUCUCAACCUUGUGAGAAGCAACUGUACUUAUCCUUAACAGGUAUUUGUUCUGUUUCACAUGAAGCUUUUGUGGCCUUCCAAGCUACUUCCAUAUUUAUGAUCUGCUUUCUGAUAGGCCUCUUGCUUGCUGUCAUGCAUGCCUAUAUGCUAAUGGGUGUAUGGUAAUACAUUGCCCCAAAAGUUUCUGUAUAUUUGUUGCUAAUUGAGGUGGGUGACUUUUUGGAAGAAAAUAGUUUAUUAUCGUUUAUUAUUGCCACCUGUUGCACUAGAGGUGAUAGAUUGAUGUUGCACUGAUGUGUCUUGGCCUCAAACCCUAGAAAAAUAAUAUUACUUGUCACUGAAAAAUGAGUAAAUAAAAAGAAACGAAUUAUUCCUCAUGCUUUUACAAUGUCUAUCUGCUAUUUGUGAUUUAUUAAGAUACAUUUUGAGUAUUAACAUUAGUUUUUGUUACUAUGAAGGCAAAGGUGAUGGUACAAAUGCAGAAUCUGGAGCACAUGAAGAAGAUUUUCUCAUCCAGGAUGAGAUUUCUAAAUCUUGUCUAGUGAACGUGUAGCGUGUAAGUCAUUCUUUAUGGAGAUGCUGCAUUUUGCAAGUAUUGCAAAAGUUGCAAGUGCUCCAUUAUACAUGCAUCCCUUGUUAUUGAAUUGUUGAUUAUCUGUAGGAGGAAGAGACAAUUUUGCAUGAGAGAGACGGCUAUAAACUGGAAGAGGGACGUCUUAUACGUGAAUUGAAAAGGAUACGAGAUGAGGAUGAUUCAAGUUUUAAUAAUUUUCAGAUUUUAAAUCAUCAAUAUGCCCUUUUAAACCUUCUUGGGCAAGGAGGAUUUAGUGAGGUUUACAAGGUCCGAACUUCGGCAAGUAGUUUCAAUUGAUAAUAGAAAGUAGUUUCAUUUGAUAAUAGAAACACUAACCUUUGCUUGUUUGAUGAAAAUUCUUAUAUACCAUGACAAGAGUAUAGAUCAUUCUGUUGCCAAUAUUGACAAUUGUAAAAGCACAUCCUUUUGCAGUGAUUUGAAGUGAGAAAUUUCCGGCAGGCUUAUGAUUUGGUCGAGCAUAGGAAGGUGCAGGGCAUCAUGUUUUAUCUGCUUUUGUUGAGAUUGUGUUGAUAAUUCCGACAAUCACAUCCCGGUAAUACUUCAUAACCUACUUCUUUUUCUUUUCUGAGGUAUGGAGUGUAAAUAAUGGUCCACAUCUUAUUACGAAAGAAGAAGGAUCCUGAAUUUUAUA